GAGCUCAGUUGGUUGUGCAUGAGACUCUUAAUCUCCGGGUUGUGGGUUCAAGUCCCACCUUGGACA